GCCAGGCGUGGUGGCACGCACCUGUAGUCCCAGCCACUCAGGAGGCUGAGGCAGGGGGAUUCCUUGAGCCCAGGAGUUCAAGGUUGCAGUGAGCUAUGAUGGCACCACUGCACUCCAGCCUGGGCAAUAGAGCAAGAUCCUGUCUCAA
ensembl:misc_RNA Metazoa_SRP Metazoan signal recognition particle RNA